ensembl:snoRNA
GCACUACUAGGUCUAUGAAAUCUCUGGUAAAAAAAAAAAUAAAACACCACCGGGCCUGUCAUAGUAACCCAUGCCAGAGCAAACUGUGUCCCCAAACCAUUGCCUGGCCUCUGUGCCCGUAGGCUGCUGGCACUGAAGUAGCUUGCGCAGUG